rnacentral:rRNA from 1 species
GAUGAACGCUAGCGGCAGGCUUAACACAUGCAAGUCGAGGGGUAGAGGCUUUCGGGCCUUGAGACCGGCGCACGGGUGCGUAACGCGUAUGCAAUCUGCCUUGUACUGGGGGAUAGCCCAGAGAAAUUUGGAUUAAUACCCCAUAGUAUUUUCGGUUGGCAUCAACUGAUUAUUAAAGUUUUUCGGUACAAGAUGAGCAUGCGUCCCAUUAGCUAGUUGGUAUGGUAACGGCAUACCAAGGCUACGAUGGGUAGGGGUCCUGAGCGGGCGCUCCCCCACCCUGGUACUGAGAAACGGACCAGACUCCUGCGGGAGGCAGCAGUGAGGAAUAUUGGUCAAUGGUCGCAAGACUGAACCAGCCAUGCCGCGUGCAGGAUGAAGCAUCUAUGGUGUGUAAACUGCUUUUGUACGGGAAGAAACACUGCUACGUGUAGCAGCUUGACGGUACCGUAAGAAUAAGGAUCGGCUAACUCCGUGCCAGCCGCCGCGGUAAAAC